UCUGGGAUAGCUCACUCAGUAGAGCAUGAGACUCUUAAUCUCAAGGUCAUGGGUCUGAGCCCCAAAUUGCACAAAG